AGUAAAUCAUUCUAUUCGUAUGAGAAAACCCCUCUUUGUCUAAAAUCUUUGAAUCGUUCAAGCAAUUUUGGAAGAAUGUUCAACAAAAUCUUUGAAACUCACUUCCUUCUUUAAGUUUGAGCUUCAGAUCUUGAAGAUUUAUUUGUUCAAGCAAGGCAUUACAUCGUCAAUUUUCUUCUAGAUUCCACCAAAUGUGAAGCUCUCAGUGCCAAGGUGGGAAAUUUAGAUUUUUCAUGGAAACUCAACCAGGAUUGGAGAACAGUAUGCAACAGCCUCUGCAACUGUGAGGAAGUUCUUGUCCUCGCCAAUCUGACUUCGCAAAAUUGGAUGUGUAAAGCUUGUCUAUCACUGCCGGGCCAGGAUUUGCCAGAACAAGCUGUGCAAACAAGGAACUACUUUUGUUAAGUGUGAUCUGAGGCAGAGAUAUUUAUGUUAUGGGGGCAUGUGUGUCAACGACUCAAGGGUGUGUGGGACGGAGGUUGAGUUCCUCCAAGAAGAAGUUUCGGAAGAGGAAGAGAUAUGGACUCAGAAGAAGAGUGUAUUCUCGGUUUUCCAAGGGAUAAUUGGACAAGGGAACUGAUGCAUUCUCAGUCCGGUUUGUAUUCAAACCAUCAGGAUAUAGGCCCUUGAUAUUCAGUAAGUGGGUUCAUUGUACAUAGAUUUUUCCUGCAACAUGGAACUCUUUAUAUUUGAUAUGUGGAAUAAGAGCGGGACAAUUUUUUUUUUUCGUAUGCUAAUUCAUGGCCAUCUAAAAUUAUCUUCUUGCCAAUUCAACUUGAUUAUUUACACGAGGCUUCUGAAGAAGUGGAGCUAUUGUACAAAGUGCUAUUCUUCUCAAUCCUUUUCAACCUGUAGUGGCAGUUGGUAGAUAAGCUAGUUUAUCUCUACUUUAACCAGGCAAUUGUCCUAGUAUAUUAGGAAAAUCUGAUUAUGUAUGCCAACUAUGAAUAUUUUGUUUUCAACUUAGUGUUUGUCAGACUGUCACUGUGAUGACUCAUAAGAUAGGAAAUACUAUU